rnacentral:lncRNA from 1 species
AUGAUUUAUACCCAUCCAUUUAAAAAAUGACAUUCUUUUAUAGGUUAAAUGCAUUCAUGUCCCUGCAAAUGUAGUGAAUUACAAAUAUGUUCCCACAAAGUUUAACUUUCAUAUAUUGUCUCGGCAAAACUUCUAAUAUUUUUAAAUAUAUCCCUCUAGUUUGUUACCGCUAUAGAACUGUUUAUAUUUUAAGGGCUUGUUUGGUUCAUCCAUUUUGGAUAUAGAAUGGGAAUCGAUUUGAUCAAAUUCGGUUAAUUUUGUUUGGUUCACAGGAAUCGGUUUGGGAUUUCUAUUCCGGAUUGGAAUGGGAAUAGCCCAUCAGCCUUCAAUUUGAUUCCGGUCUCCAAGCUCGGAUUGAGAUUUCAUUCCCAAAGCCCACUAGGUUCUCGAGGCCCAUGCGACCAUCUCACCCUCCUCUCUCCUUUAUACAAUCUCUUCAUCCUCUCUCAUCAAAAAAAAAACUAUCAUUUCUCAAAACCCUAUCCCUAACCCUAGUGGUGACGCGAACACAAUGGGUGGUUGUGUAGGGCGGCGUGGCGGCAAGACUCGGCAGCACGACAGUGAGACGGGGUGGCACAGCGAGUUGGUGCAGCGGCGUGGUGACGUGGUACGGUGGCGAGACGCGGUGGCG